UACGAAGGGGGCUAGCGUUGCUCGGAAUCACUGGGCGUAAAGGGCGCGUAGGCGGGCUCUUAAGUCAGGGGUGAAAGCCCAAGGCUCAACCUCGAGACGUCGGUUGAAACCGUAAGGCUAGAGUCCGGAAGAGGAGAGUGGAAUUCCCGGUGUAGCGGUGAAAUGCGCAGAUAUCGGGAAGAACACCCGUGGCGAAGGCGGCUCUCUGGGACGGUACUGACGCUGAGACGCGAAAGCGUGGGGAGCGAACAGG
rnacentral:rRNA from 1 species